ACUUUCCCUUGAUGCAGGAUCUUUUGAGCGUUUGGAAUCUGGAAAACAAAACGAGAAAGUUAAUAUUGUAAUAUUAAACGCGAUGAUACAGGUGAAAGAUGACUAUGUUUUCUUUCCACCAAGGCAUAUUCCAGGAGGUGAGAAGUUGCAGAUAUAGGAUUUUGAUACGGAAGGGGAGAAAGCUCUGGAUCAAAAGAUGCAUUUAGGGAGUGGUUUUCCCAUAUUGGGGAUUGCGUUCCUAAUGUGAAAAGGUGCCCAUUUUAGCUUUACCAGCAACCGUUCGUCCUAAGCAUCGAAGGAAAAUCAUGACAGAAUUGUAUUUUAGUAAAAUCGCAUGUAUCAUUACUGAUAGUCCGGAUAGAAAAAAAAAUUAACAUCAGUGUGUUGAAAAUUAUAAAUGAUUAUUUCAAAAAUAUUUUUUCAUCAAUUAUCGCUAGAUUAUCUGAAGGAACAAUGUCUUUUCCAAGAUAUUUCUUAUUUGCCAAGACCGUUAAUAUUUUGUAACUCAAUAAAAGACUGUGCUUCAUUA